rnacentral:tRNA from 1 species
AAGGAUUUAGGUUAAAAAUAAACCUGGGACCUUCAAAGUCCCUAAUAAAGAAGACUUUAAGCCUUA